rnacentral:rRNA from 1 species
AUUGAACGCUGGCGGCAGGCUUAACACAUGCAAGUCGAGCGAGCGGCGGACGGGUGAGUAAUGUCUGGGAAACUGCCUGAUGGAGGGGGAUAACUACUGGAAACGGUAGCUAAUACCGCAUACCAUCGGAUGUGCCCAGAUGGGCUUAGCUAGUAGGUGGGGUAAGGGCUCACCUAGGCGACGAUCCCUAGCUGGUCUGAGAGGAUGACCAGCCACACUGGAACUGAGACACGUUCCAGACUCCGACGGGAGGCAGCAGUGGGGAAUAGUGCACAAUGGGCGCAAGCCUGAUGCAGCCAUGCCGCGUGUGUGAAGAAGGCCUUCGGGUUGUAAAGUACUUUCAGCGAGGAGGCGUUACUCGCAGAAGAAGCACCGGCUAACUCCGUGCCAGCAGCCGCGGUAAUUC